rnacentral:rRNA from 1 species
UACGUAGGGUGCGAGCGUUAAUCGGAAUUACUGGGCGUAAAGCGUGCGCAGGCGGUUUUGUAAGUCAGAUGUGAAAUCCCCGGGCUCAACCUGGGAACUGCAUUUGUGACUGCACGGCUAGAGUGUGUCAGAGGGGGGUAGAAUUCCACGUGUAGCAGUGAAAUGCGUAGAUAUGUGGAGGAAUACCGAUGGCGAAGGCAGCCCCCUGGGAUAACACUGACGCUCAUGCACGAAAGCGUGGGGAGCAAACAGG